AAAAUUUUAGUUUAAAGAAAAUAUUUCAUUUACAGUGAAAAGUUUUAUUAAUUAAUAAAAAUUUUA
rnacentral:tRNA from 1 species